GCUCACUUGUGCAUUUUUGGCCUGCAAAGUAGAUGAAUUCAAUGUAUCUAGUCCUCAGUUUGUUGGAAACCUUCGGGAGAGUCCUCUUGGACAGGAGAAGGCACUUGAACAGAUACUGGAAUAUGAACUACUUCUUAUACAGCAACUUAAUUUCCACCUUAUUGUCCACAAUCCUUACAGACCAUUUGAGGGCUUCCUCAUCGACUUAAAGACCCGCUAUCCCAUAUUGGAGAAUCCAGAGAUUUUGAGGAAAACAGCUGAUGACUUUCUUAAUAGAAUUGCAUUGACGGAUGCUUACCUUUUAUACACACCUUCCCAAAUUGCCCUGACUGCCAUUUUAUCUAGUGCCUCCAGGGCUGGAAUUACUAUGGAAAGUUAUUUAUCAGAGAGUCUGAUGCUGAAAGAGAACAGAACUUGCCUGUCACAGUUACUAGAUAUAAUGAAAAGCAUGAGAAACUUAGUAAAAAAGUAUGAACCACCCAGAUCUGAAGAAGUUGCUGUUCUGAAACAGAAGUUGGAGCGAUGUCAUUCUGCUGAGCUUGCACUUAACGUAAUCACGAAGAAGAGGAAAGGCUAUGAAGAUGAUGAUUACGUCUCAAAGAAAUCCAAACAUGAGGAGGAAGAAUGGACUGAUGACGACCUGGUAGAAUCUCUCUAACCAUUUGAAGUUGAUUUCUCAAUGCUAACUAAUCAAGAGAAGUAGGAAGCAUAUCAAACGUUUAACUUUAUUUAAAAAGUAUAAUGUGAAAACAUAAAAUAUAUUAAAACUUUUCUAUUG
rnacentral:sRNA from 1 species